GAUGAACGCUGGCGGCGUGCCUAAUACAUGCAAGUCGAGCGAACAUACGAGGAGCUUGCUCCUCUGACGUUAGCGGCGGACGGGUGAGUAACACGUGGAUAACCUACCUAUAAGACUGGGAUAACUUCGGGAAACCGGAGCUAAUACCGGAUAAUAUAUUGAACCGCAUGGUUCAAUAGUGAAAGACGGUUUUGCUGUCACUUAUAGAUGGAUCCGCGCCGCAUUAGCUAGUUGGUAAGGUAACGGCUUACCAAGGCAACGAUGCGUAGCCGACCUGAGAGGGUGAUCGGCCACACUGGAACUGAGACACGGUCCAGACUCCUACGGGAGGCAGCAGUAGGGAAUCUUCCGCAAAGGGCGAAAGCCUGACGGAGCAACGCCGCGUGAGUGAUGAAGGUCUUCGGAUCGUAAAACUCUGUUAUUAGGGAAGAACAAAUGUGUAAGUAACUAUGCACGUCUUGACGGUACCUAAUCAGAAAGCCACGGCUAACUACGUG
rnacentral:rRNA from 1 species